rnacentral:rRNA from 1 species
CGUAGGGAGCAAGCGUUGUCCGGAUUUAUUGGGCGUAAAGAGCUCGUAGGCGGCUUAGAAAGUCGGGUGUGAAACCUCCAGGCUCAACCUGGAGACGCCACUCGAUACUUCUAUGGCUUGAGUUCGGUAGGGGUAAGCGGAAUUCCUGGUGUAGCGGUGAAAUGCGCAGAUAUCAGGAGGAACACCGAUGGCGAAGGCAGCUUACUGGGCCGAUACUGACGCUGAGGAGCGAAAGCGUGGGGAGCGAACAGGAUUAGAUACCCUGGUAGUCCACGCCGUAAACGUUGGGCACUAGGUGUGGGAGGUAAUCAACGCCUUCCGUGCCGUAGCCAACGCAUUAAGUGCCCCGCCUGGGGAGUACGGUCGCAAGACUA